rnacentral:rRNA from 1 species
UUGGAGUAGCCCCCAAAUAUUGGAACAUAUAAAAAAAGACAACGCUGUUCCGCAGAGUAGCUGUUGACAUUAUAGUUGCGCAGAAACUUUGUUGACUCUAGAGAACCUCGGGCAAAUCGCACAUCCCCGUGGCGACGACUUUGCAUGCGGAUGUCAUCCAUAUCAACUUUCGAUGGCAGUUUCUGCGCCUACCAUGGUGACAACGGGUAACAUGGAAUCAGGGUUCCAUUCCGUACAGGGAACCUCAGAAACGGCUACCACAUGCAAGCAAGGUAGCAGGCGCGCAAAUUACCCACUCCCGACACGGGAAGGUAGUGACGA